GUGGUCGCUCAGUCGGCAGAGCAUGAGGCUCAUAAUCUCGGGGUUCUGGGUUCGAAUCCUAUGUUGGGUGAAACA